rnacentral:rRNA from 1 species
CAGUCGCCGCGGUAAGACAGAGGAUGCAAGCGUUAUCCGGAAUGAUUGGGCGUAAAGCGUGCGCAGGCGGUUUUGUAAGACAGGCGUGAAAUCCCCGGGCUCAACCUGGGAAUGGCGCUUGUGACUGCAAAGCUAGAGUGCGGCAGAGGGGGAUGGAAUUCCGCGUGUAGCAGUGAAAUGCGUAGAUAUGCGGAGGAACACCGAUGGCGAAGGCAAUCCCCUGGGCCUGCACUGACGCUCAUGCACGAAAGCGUGGGGAGCAAACAGGAUUAGAUACCCGCGUAGUCCCUGUCUCUUAUAC